UACAGAGGUCUCAAGCGUUGUUCGGAUUCAUUGGGCGUAAAGGGUGCGUAGGCGGUGCAGCAAGUCGGGAGUGAAAUACCUCAGCUUAACUGAGGAACUGCUCUCGAUACUGCUGUGCUUGAGUGAGACAGAGGUAAGCGGAACUUAGGGUGGAGCGGUGAAAUGCGUUGAUAUCCUAAGGAACACCGGUGGCGAAGGCGGCUUACUGGGUCUCUACUGACGCUGAGGCACGAAAGCCAGGGUAGCAAACGGG
rnacentral:rRNA from 1 species